rnacentral:rRNA from 1 species
GAUGAACGCUGGCGGCGUGCCUAAUACAUGCAAGUAGAACGCUGAAGGAGGAGCUUGCUCUUCUGGAUGAGUUGCGAACGGGUGAGUAACGCGUAGGUAACCUGCCUGGUAGCGGGGGAAAACUAUUGGAAACGAUAGCUAAUACCGCAUGACAACAGUUAUUGCAUGAUAACUGUUUAAAAGGGGCAACUGCUCCACUACCAGAUGGACCUGCGUUGUAUUCGCUAGUUGGUGAGGUAACGGCUCACCAAGGCGACGAUACAUAGCCGACCUGAGAGGGUGAUCGGCCACACUGGGACUGAGACACGGCCCAGACUCCUACGGGAGGCAGCAGUAGGGAAUCUUCGGCAAUGGACGGAAGUCUGACCGAGCAACGCCGCGUGAGUGAAGAAGGUUUUCGGAUCGUAAAGCUCUGUUGUAAGAGAAGAACGAGUGUGAGAGUGGAAAGUUCACACUGUGACGGUAUCUUACCAGAAAGGGACGGCUAACUACGU